GUGCCACCAGCCGCGGUAAUACGGAGGGUGCGAGCGUUAAUCGGAAUUACUGGGCGUAAAGCGCGCGUAGGCGGCUUGUUAAGCUGGAUGCGAAAUCCCCGGGCUCAACCUGGGACUUGCACCCGGAACUGGCAGGCUAGAGUACGGUAGAGGUGAGUGGAAUUUCCUGUGUAGCGGUGAAAUGCGUAGAUAUAGGAAGGAACACCAGUGGCGAAGGCGGCUCACUGGACUGAUACUGACGCUGAGGUGCGAAAGCGUGGGGAGCAAACUGGAUUAGAUACCCUGGUAGUCCACGCCGUAAACGAUGUCGACUAGCCGUUGGGGAGCUUGACUUCUUAGUGGCGCAGCUAACGCGAUAAGUCGACCGCCUGGGGAGUACGGCCGCAAGGUUAAAACUCAAAUGAAUUGACGGGGGCCCGCACAAGCGGUGGAGCAUGUGGUUUAAUUCGAUGCAACGCGAAGAACCUUACCAGGUCUUGACAUCCUCGGAACUUGGCAGAGAUGCCUUGGUGCCUUCGGGAGCCGAGAGACAGGUGCUGCAUGGCUGUCGUCAGCUCGUGUCGUGGGAUGUUGGGUUAAGUCCCGUAACGAGCGCAACCCUUUGUCCUUAGUUGCUA
rnacentral:rRNA from 1 species